GUCACUUUGGCGGAGUGGUUGACGCGUUGCCCUGCUGUGGAAGGCAUAGUCAGUAGGCAAUUCCCUCGGGAGCACAGGUUCGAAUCCUGUAGGUGUUU